ACACACAGACAAGGUGGUGGGGUGAUGGUGUCAUCUCCAAGUCCCUCUCCUCAUUUAGCUUUUCUGAUAUUUGAACCGUAUCUUAUCUAUGGAUACAUUACUGGUUCAGUCUCUGAAGCGGGGGCGGCUAUGAUGACUUGGCCUUCCUCAGGACAUUCCUUGUUAAUACAAGUGAACAGUGAGACGAUUACGUUGAUUUCACUCUCAACUCAGUGAAAGAAGUAAACACCCGGAAGCUCGUUAGAAACGUAGAACCUCCGCCUCCACCCCAGUCCUAAUGAAUCAGACUGCAUUUUAACAGGAUCCCGGGUGAGUAUGAGAAGCACAGGUCUAGUUUCAAUGAGAGCUCUGCUGAGGGUCAGAGACUUAGAAGAAUAUGAAUUCUCACUCAGACGCUGCACUUCAUAAAAGGAGGCAUGGCUGGAUAAAAAUAAAGGAAGUUGGAGUUUUUCUGUUGUCGAUGGAUGUUUGGUGCAUUCAUUCUCUCUCAAGAAACAGAAUCAGAAGGUCUAAUUAGAUAAAAUACAAAUACAUAUUUCCCCCUGUUCUGUGUGUUACUGUGUGAAAGAUAGGGAAAGCACAGAGCAGGAUAAUGAGUCUCCUUUCAUAAACUCUCCAUCUUCAUCUGGCCUCUGUUCUUUUAGAAAUCAUGUAGUACUCAAAGCAUUUCUGGAUCAUUCCAUACAUUCUAUUAUAAGCCCAAUUUUGAGCAAGAGGGUGAGUUAGGGAAGGGCAACAACAUCAUGAAACCUUCUAGAUUGUUCUUGUACAUUAUGCUUGACGACAAAUAAGAUAGUCAUCUUCUCUACCUAAUUGAAAAGGAGAAAAGAAGGAAAGGCUGUCCCAGGUAGCAGGGCAGCGCAAAGGCAAGAAAUGACACAAUAAGAGCAGUAACAGCUAAUUCUUCCUGAAUGUUUAUUCUGGGCUGGGGCUUGUUUUGAGCAUCUCCUCUGAAUAAACUUGCCAACUAGUAUCUGUAUUCCUGGGGUCUAGACUGAGCCAAGCAAUGUCAGAGAUAGGGCUGGAGAGAGAGGGGCCAUCAAACAAGAGGCAAGUUCCAGACUUUGACUUCCUUAUAAUCAAUGCACAAUGAUCUCCGGGGUAAACCUACCUGAGACUUUGUCCCAUAGGGAAUUGCAGACUUUUUUCCUGAAAGAGAGUGGAUCAUUCUUGCUCUCAUGGGAAUACCUUGGGAUACAAUCUGAAAUGAAACCAGAAAUAUUGACUUCAAUGACAGUAACAUGGCAUUAUGCAAGAAAGAUAGAAGUUGAUUUUUAAAUGUAAUUUCAUAUAUUCUCCAAGAAAUUUUAAAAAUUGUGAAAGACCAUAGAAGCCCAACGUGGUAGAAACUCCUUCAAUGAAAAUGGUGAUCCUGAAGCUUUUAGUUUGUUUUUUUAAUCUUAGAUCUUAGAACCGGCUUAAAAUUUAUCUGAUCUAAAUCGAAUAUCACAGAUUGAGGGAAGUGAUUUGUUGUUACAGAGGUUAAGUGAUUUUCUCAUCAUGACAAAAAGGGAGAUUAUGAGGAGUAAAACCCAGGGUUCCUAACAUUCAAUGCAAAGUGUUUUCUUACACAUGACUGCUGCUAUCUGGGAGAAAAUAAUAGGAAUGCAAAUAGCACUCAUAUUUGCUAGUACUGUCAGCUCAAAGACACAUUGUCACUGAAAGUAGUAUCAAGAAAAAUACAUCUAUCAUGUCUGUUUAUAUUACCAAGCUAACAUAGACAGUGAAAAGUUCUACAACAUUAAGCUCACAUGAUGAAAAUCUACUACAGGCCCACCAUUCUUUAUCCAAACCCAUGGGGCCUGAUGGUUUCAGAAUUCAGAAUUUUUCAAUUUUAGAAAGUAGUGUAGUACACAUAUGCUGGAUAUCACAUAAACCCGCCCCAUAAUCAAACACAAAAUUUCUGUAGCAAAACAUAUUUAUGCUAAAUGAGAUUUUUAAAAGACUACAAAGAGUCUCAUGUCAAGUCAGAUUUUGCUACUCAAUGAGUGAUGAGAAGCUUUCUAUUUUCAGAGUCUUUUUGGAGUAUAGAAUUGUAGAUAAGAUAUUACGGGCCUGUGCAAUUGAAAAAAAAAAGGAAUCUGGCUCCUUUUAUCCUGGAUGCCAUCUUGACUCUCACUUUCUACAGGCAGUGACGCACCAUCCUGUUGAGAACCCAAUAUCAGAAGCAAUCAUCCGGUUGCAGGGUCCUCCUCGGGUGCCUCGAGUGUCCAAUGUUCACCCUCUUGCCAAAUUUCGAAUUUUAAAAGCUUUAGUAGAAUGAGUUUUCAUGCAGAGAUUCUUGGUAUUAAAUGGUACUUUUUAAGCCAGGAUGAAAUCAAACCAUGCAAUUGUUGAAAAAUACCAGGUAUUAUCUUCUGUAAGAAAGAUACAUUAAGUACCUGAUCUUCCAGGCCAACAGCUUUCAAGGCUUGUCGUCCUCUAUGAGAAAGGGCUAAGUUAAUGCUUCUUCCACGUGUGAAGGUAGCCACUCGAGUAUCUGAGACAUUGGAAGCAGACUCCAUGUUACGCACACUUUAUAUCCUAGCUCAGGAUGAGCAAAAUUACUGCAUCUGAACAACUGGUUCAUUCGGAACCACAUUAAAGAACUUCUUAACUCUUCUAAAGAAAAUGCUAAUAGC
rnacentral:lncRNA from 1 species